UACGUAGGGGGCUAGCGUUGUCCGGAAUCAUUGGGCGUAAAGAGCGUGUAGGCGGCCCGGUAAGUCCGCUGUGAAAGUCGGGGGCUCAACCCUCGAAUGCCGGUGGAUACUGUCGGGCUAGAGUGCGGAAGAGGCGAGUGGAAUUCCUGGUGUAGCGGUGAAAUGCGCAGAUAUCAGGAGGAACACCUAUUGCGAAGGCAGCUCGCUGGGACGUAACUGACGCUGAGACGCGAAAGCGUGGGGGAGCAAACAGG
rnacentral:rRNA from 1 species